AUUGAACGCUGGCGGCAUGCCUUACACAUGCAAGUCGAACGGUAACAGGUCUUCGGAUGCUGACGAGUGGCGAACGGGUGAGUAAUACAUCGGAACGUGCCUAGUAGUGGGGGAUAACUACUCGAAAGAGUGGCUAAUACCGCAUGAGAUCUACGGAUGAAAGCAGGGGAUCGCAAGACCUUGUGCUACUAGAGCGGCCGAUGGCAGAUUAGGUAGUUGAUGGGAUAAAAGCUUACCAAGCCGACGAUCUGCAGCUGGUCUGAGAGGACGAUCAGCCACACUGGGACUGAGAAACGGCCCAGACUCCUACGGGAGGCAGCAGUGGGGAAUUUUGGACAAUGGGCGCAAGCCUGAUCCAGCAAUGCCGCGUGCAGGAUAAAGGCCUUCGGGUUGUAAACUGCUUUUGUACGGAACGAAAAGCCCCGGGUUAAUACCCUGGGGUCAUGACGGUACCGUAAGAAUAAGCACCGGCUAACUACGUGCCAGCCGCCGCCGUAA
rnacentral:rRNA from 1 species